UCUUCAUUGCACACACUCACUCUCCGGUCAGAGAGACGAGAGAGUGUGCGAAAUGAAGAGG
rnacentral:pre_miRNA from 1 species